AACGAACGCUGGCGGCAGGCUUAACACAUGCAAGUCGAGCGCCCCGCAAGGGGAGCGGCAGACGGGUGAGUAACGCGUGGGAAUCUACCCAUCUCUACGGAAUAACGCAUGGAAACGUGUGCUAAUAACGUAUACGUCCUUGGGGAGAAAGAUUUAUCGGAGAUGGAUGAGCCCGCGUUGGAUUAGCUAGUUGGUGGGGUAAAGGCCUACCAAGGCGACGAUCCAAAGCUGGUCUGAGAGGAGGAACAGCCACACUGGGACUGAGACACGGCCCAGACUCCUACGGGAGGCAGCAGUGGGGAAUAUUGGACAAUGGGCGCAAGCCUGAUCCAGCCAUGCCGCGUGAGUGAUGAAGGCCCUAGGGUUGUAAAGCUCUUUCAUCGGUGAAGAUAAUGACGGUAACCGGAGAAGAAGCCCCGGCUAACUUCGUGCCAGCCGCCGCAGUAAUAC
rnacentral:rRNA from 1 species